UAGAGUUUGAUCCUGGCUCAGGAUGAACGCUAGCGGCAGGCUUAACACAUGCAAGUCGAGGGGCAUCGGGAGGGAAGCUUGCUUUCCUUGCCGGCGACCGGCGCACGGGUGAGUAACACGUAUGCAACCUGCCCUCUUCAGGGGGACAACCUUCCGAAAGGGAGGCUAAUCCCGCGUAUAUCGGUUUCGGGCAUCCGAGAUCGAGGAAAGAUUCAUCGGAAGAGGAUGGGCAUGCGGCGCAUUAGCUAGACGGCGGGGUAACGGCCCACCGUGGCGACGAUGCGUAGGGGUUCUGAGAGGAAGGUCCCCCACACUGGUACUGAGACACGGACCAGACUCCUACGGGAGGCAGCAGUGAGGAAUAUUGGUCAAUGGGAGAGAUCCUGAACCAGCCAAGCCGCGUGAGGGAAGACGGCCCUAUGGGUUGUAAACCUCUUUUGUCGGAGAACAAAACCCGGGACGAGUCCCGGACUGCGUGUAUCCGAAGAAAAAGCAUCGGCUAACUCCGUGCCAGCAGCCGCGGUAAUACGGAGGAUGCGAGCGUUAUCCGGAUUUAUUGGGUUUAAAGGGUGCGUAGGCGGUCCGUUAAGUCAGCGGUAAAAUUGCGGGGCUCAACCCCGUCGAGCCGUUGAAACUGGCAGACUUGAGUUGGCGAGAAGUACGCGGAAUGCGCGGUGUAGCGGUGAAAUG
rnacentral:rRNA from 1 species